CGGAUCGGAGUCUGCAACCCGACUCCGUGAAGCUGGAUUCGCUAGUAAUCGCGCAUCAGCCAUGGCGCGGUGAAUACGUUCCCGGGCCUUGUACACACCGCCCGUCAAGCCAUGGGAGCCGGGGGUGCUUGAAGUGCGUCGCCGCAAGGCGCGCCCUGGAGCAAAACCGGUGACUGGGGCUAAGUCGUAACAAGGUAGC
rnacentral:rRNA from 1 species